ensembl:lncRNA novel transcript, antisense to EPHB1
ACAUCUAUUUGGGGAGGAGCCAAGAUGGGGGGGAGGAGCCAAGAUGGCCGAAUAGGAACAGCUCCUGUCUACAGCUCCCAGCUUGAGCCACGCAGAAGAUGGGUGAUUUCUGCAUUUCCAUCUGAGGUACCAGGCUACACCCUGCAAGGUCAUUAUCAUUAGCUGCACUUUACAGGAGAGGAAGCUGAGGCUCAGAGAAGCAAACUGCCCUCCUACUUAUGUUGAAGACUUUCCCAUCCUAUGAGCCCAGGUGGGAGAAGCUGAAAAUGGCAGAAGGUCACUUUUCCAGCUGCCCUGUGCCUGGUGAGCCUGUGACACAGACCCCGUUGCUCACAUAUCCACCCAGUUUGGUGCCAUAGGUGGUAGGUAAGUGGGAGCCCCAAGGAAGCUGCUCUGGCAGCAUGGUGCUGGUGGCCUGGCCUGGUGCCCUGUGCUGGGUAGGGGAGGGAUACUGGCAGCAUCUCUGGUUUGGGGAAGGUAAGGGGCCCCAGAGGUCUGUUUGGCAGGGCAAUUUUGACCAAAAUUGGAACAUUGCUUUUAGCUGGGUAGCCCCAAGUCUGGCUCUAUAGCCUUUCUACCAAUUCAUGUGAUAAUCAACAUCCUUAAAAAAUCAUUAUCUGGGAACAAUUUCAUACUUAUAAAAUAUUGCAAAAAUAGUACAAAGAAUUCCCAUAAACCUUUCACUUAGAUUUCCAAAAUGUUAACACUUUAUCACACUUGCUUUAUCAUUCUCUGUCUUUUGCUUAUCUAUCUACCUAUCCACUUUACUUUAGUAGUAAUUGUUUCAGAUAAGAUUCAUCAAUGGAUGUUAAAAUAAUGACUGAAAGAAAGACGAGAAAUAAGAUAUUUACAUAGCCUCCAAACACAUUCCUUCAAUUGUAUGGGGGAAAGAGGAACUUUACAGUGAAGAAACCUGGUAGGCACCACCUGAACUCAGUGAUAAAACUUAAUAUCCUGAGUAACGGAACAAAUCAACACCAGAUGCCUCUUGAUAGAAUGCAGUGAGCUGAACACACCAUCACUUCCUGGAAUUCCCGCAAAAAUGCACAACCUGAAUUUACUCAUAGGGAAACAUCAGAAGAAGCCAAACUGAGCUUCAGUCUACAGAGUAACUGGUUUGUUUUCCUCAACAUCAUUUUAAUAAUUUUUAUUAAGUUUUUUUAAGGUGUUAGGCCACCCAGGUGUUUUGCAACCUGCAUAGCACCGAACCAAUGUAAGGGCAUUCUUAAAGUUUUGGUGUUGAUGAAGGCCAUGCUGAUGAGGAAACUACCUAAAUGGGCACUAUUCCAGGAACUGGACUGUCAUGUUUCAAGGGAUCCUCAGGUACAGCAGGUGGACUGAGAGGGAACAGAGGAGAACGAGGAAUGUUGGAGAGACGAGGGCCCUGAAUACGGUGUUCAGCAUCUAGAUCACAAUUAAUAACUUUGUGUCUCCGUUUUCUACCCUCAUUUGUGCUCCACGGCUGCAAAACGAUGAAAUAUUGAUUCCUUCCUCUAGUGAAUCAAUGUGGAUGUUGUAUGGCAAAGAUGAAGGCAGAGAGCUCAUGCUUUCUUUGUGCCCCACCCUGAACACUAUACUACGAGCCAGUGUGUUGCAGUGGUUAAGCGCUCAGGCUCCGGAAUCAGUUUCUUCAUCUGUAAAAUGCGGAUAAUGAUAAUGCAUGGUUCAUAGGCAUGAUGUGAGGAGUAAAUGGGAUAUUGAGUA